GAUGAACGCUGGCGGCGUGCCUAAUACAUGCAAGUCGAGCGAACAGAUGAGGAGCUUGCUCCUCUGACGUUAGCGGCGGACGGGUGAGUAACACGUGGAUAACCUACCUAUAAGACUGGGAUAACUUCGGGAAACCGGAGCCAAUACCGGCUAAUAUAUUCAACCGCAUGGUUCAAUAGUGAAAGACGGUUUUGCUGUCACUUAUAGAUGGAUUCGCGCCGGAUUAGCUAGUUGGUAAGGUAACGGCCUACCAAGGCGACGAUGCGUAGCCGACCUGAGAGGGUGAUCGGCCACACUGGAACUGAGACACGGUCCAGACUCCUACGGGAGGCAGCAGUAGGGAAUCUUCCGCAAUGGGCGAAAGCCUGACGGAGCAACGCCGCGUGAGUGAUGAAGGUCUUCGGAUCGUAAAACUCUGUUAUUAGGGAAGAACAAAUGUGUAAGUAACUAUGCACGUCUUGACGGUACCUAAUCAGAAAGCCACGGCUAACUACGUG
rnacentral:rRNA from 1 species